CCCUACGGGGCGCAGCAGUGGGGAAUAUUGCACAAUGGGGGAAACCCUGAUGCAGCAACGCCGCGUGGGUGAAGGAGCGUUUCGGCGCGUAAAGCCCUGUCAGCGGGGAAGAAGAAAGACGGUACCCGACCAAGAAGCCCCGGCUAACUACGUGCCAGCAGCCGCGGUAAUACGUAGGGGGUGAGCGUUAUCCGGAUUCACUGGGUGUAAAGGGCGUGUAGGCGGGAUGGCAAGUUAGGCGUGAAAACUAUGGGCUCAACCCAUAGCCUGCGUUUGAAACUGUCGUUCUUGAGUGAUGGAGAGGC
rnacentral:rRNA from 1 species